UACGUAGGGUGCGAGCGUUGUCCGGAAUUAUUGGGCGUAAAGGGCUCGUAGGCGGUCUGUCACGUCGGGAGUGAAAACACGGGGCUUAACCCCGUGCCUGCUUCCGAUACGGGCAGACUAGAGGUAUGCAGGGGAGAACGGAAUUCCUGGUGUAGCGGUGAAAUGCGCAGAUAUCGGGAGGAACACCGGUGGCGAAGGCGGUUCUCUGGGCCUUACCUGACGCUGAGGAGCGAAAGCGUGGGGAGCGAACAGG
rnacentral:rRNA from 1 species